CAGCGCCGCGGUAAUACGUAGGGUGCGAGCGUUAAUCGGAAUUACUGGGCGUAAAGCGUGCGCAGGCGGUUUUGUAAGACAGGCGUGAAAUCCCCGGGCUCAACCUGGGAAUGGCGCUUGUGACUGCAAAGCUAGAGUGCGGCAGAGGGGGAUGGAAUUCCGCGUGUAGCAGUGAAAUGCGUAGAUAUGCGGAGGAACACCGAUGGCGAAGGCAAUCCCCUGGGCCUGCACUGACGCUCAUGCACGAAAGCGUGGGGAGCAAACGGGAUUAGAUACCCCAGUAGUCCCUGUCUCUUAUACA
rnacentral:rRNA from 1 species